rnacentral:rRNA from 1 species
UACAGAGGUCUCAACCGUUGUUCGGAUUUACUGGGCGUAAAGAGCGCGCAGGCGGUCGUUCAAGUCGCGUGUGAAAGCCCCCGGCUCAACUGGGGAGGGUCACGCGAUACUGAUCGACUCGAAGGCAGGAGAGGGUAGUGGAAUUCCCGGUGUAGUGGUGAAAUGCGUAGAUAUCGGGAGGAACACCAGUGGCGAAGGCGACUACCUGGCCUGUUCUUGACGCUGAGGCGCGAAAGCUAGGGGAGCAAACGGG